GUCGAUAUGUCCGAGUGGUUAAGGAGAUAGACUUGAAAUCUAUCGGGCUACGCCCGCGCAGGUUCGAACCCUGCUGUCGACG